UGGUGGAGGUUUAAUUCGAACUUAAACAAACAAGAACAAUUGUAAAUAUGACAGAGGAUACGUAACACUCCCCUUUUUCCAGGACUAUAAUUAUUGUAACACCUGUAAAUGUUCUAAAAUUAUUUAAAUUUGUCCACUGUAUACGAACAAAAAGUUCUAUUUUGGUUCUGUAGCUAGGAGUACUGCUACCACAGUAAUCACAAGUUGAAAAAUCAGAAAUCUUUUUUCCUUUCUUCCUUAAUCAACUUCAUGAAUCAGUUGUAAAAUAAAUUUGGUUUGGUCAUUUCAUUAUUUUUUAUCUUGGCUUGUUAAUUAUUAUAAUUAAGUGAGUCCAUAAGCCCGUAUCUAUAAUAAUUCAUAUUCUAGAAUAAAUCAUGCUCUAGAUUAAUUCGCUAUCUAGAAUUGCAUUGUAUUAGAGUAUUUAGUGAAUGUUAGGUAGAUGUAUAUAUUUUAGCAUGUAAAGGAGUCCUCUGAGUACUAUAAAUAGAGGUGCCCUCUUGUCCUUUGUAACAAGCUAAUUUAGAGAUAAAAUACAAAUUCCUUCUCUAGCCUCUUCAACCUCUUAAAAAUUAUCCUAAAGUACUCUAUAAAUAAAUCUUCUUCCUAACAAAUUGGUAUCAGAGCCACAAGAUCCUUUGAAGGAGAUGGAAAAUGGUAUAAUUCCCUUUCAAGUUCCGUCACUCGAUAAGAGAAACUAUAAUAAAUGGAGGAUUAAAAUGAAGCAUCACUCAAAUAACAAGACCUAUGAAAGAUCGUAGAUAAGGGGUACGAUGAGCCAAAUUAUGAGGCUACUAUAGUUCAAGAUAAAAGGGACGCCUUGAAGGAUUUAAGAAAGAGAGACAAAGAAGCUUUCUAAACAAAAAAAAGCUAUCUAUCUUAUUUAUUAAUCACUUGAUGAUAAUGGAUUUGAGAAAUUUUCGAAUGCAAGCACCCAAAGAAGCUUGGGAUAGGGUUCAAACAUUCUACAAAGGAGGGGAGAAAGUCAAGAAGUUGUACCCAAACUUUAAGACGUGAGCUCGAAUCUCUAUAAAUGAAAGAAUCUAAUUCUAUUUUCGAAUAUUUUUCUAGAGUAUUUAGUGGCUAUGACAUCUAAGGUUCAGGCAUCUCAACUGUGGUAUGAGGUUGUAAUCCAAGAACAGAAUGUUGAAGGAGUUGCAUUUAUUAAUCACUAGAAUUAACUUUGCGAAGGAUGUUUACUAUGAAACAUUUUCGAAAGGGCUUUCCAAAAAAAGUGAGCCCAAGUGAAAAGAAGCUAAUAGACCUCAUUCGUAUCAAUGCAUGUAGGCCGAUCCAUCCGUCCUCUCUAGGAAAGAAAAACUAUUUCCUUCUGUUUAUUGGAAGGAUAGAGUGGAAGAAAGUCCGACAUCUCACACUUGAAAGCUCCCUUGUGUAACAUUCCAAAAUUCAUUUACUUCCUUAAAUUUUGUUAAUUUAACUUUGAUCAUUAGCAAAUUAAUUGGUCUAUGCUUAGCCUUGUCAUUACACUAAAGUUCAUUAAUUAAAAUGAUAAUACAAUAUAUGUAUAUAUUUUUUUGAAAAAAGAAUUAUUUCCUAAUUAUGCAUUUUUUAAUUUCUUCUAAGUAUUAUGCGUGCCAAAUAAUUGGGUAUAGUAAAUGUUGAUAAAAAUAUAUUAAUAUGGGUCUCAUUUUGUAGACCAGGUUAAAUUACUUAAAUUGGGUCCAAGAGAAAUUUAUUUUGAACGCAUUAUGUCAAGUUAUUGUGGUUGAAACGAAAUUUAUGUAACCAUUUAAUAUAAUAUUAAUUAUUAUUUUUCUUUGCAUUGAUUGGUUGACAAAUGUGUGAGAUUUCAAGUGUGGUAAAAAAAUAACCAAUUUUAUAACUUUGUUAGUUUUGAUAUUUAUUAGUGGUAUACGUGUGUGAAGUUACGAGAACAUGUGGUGGUUUUUCUCAAAUACUUGGCCAUUUUUUUUACCCACUCACCAAUCACAUUUAUAUGAUACUUAUACACACGGUUUUUUUAAUACAUACAAAGUUAUCAACUCUAUAUAUUUUGCUAUUCUUCAAGUCAAGGAAAAUAGGGAAAUUCUUUUUCAAAAUUCUUAGCAAAUUCAUAUUUUUAAGGUAAGAUAAAUAAGUGCAGUGGUUAAAUUUUUAUUCUCCAUGAUAUCAAUAUUAUGAUUGUUAAACAUCAAUAAUUCAUUCUUAUUGUCAUAGCAUGUUCAACUAUAAUAAAAGAAAAACAUACCUCCAAUAGAUUGUGAUUGGUUUUCCAUGAAUUUUUUGGACUGCAAAAGAAGAAGAAGAAUUGUUAUGGAGAGAACUACUCUCUACUCCUCUUGAAACCCUAGAAGCCAAUAUCCCUCUUCUUGCUUGAGAGAAAUGAAGAAAGGGCUAUAACAUAUAUAUAUAUAUAUAUGAACUGGGUUGAGA
rnacentral:lncRNA from 1 species